CUACGGGCGGCUCCAGUGAGGAAUAUUGCACAAUGGGGGGAACCCUGAUGCAGCGACGCCGCGUGGAGGAUGACGCAUUUCGGUGUGUAAACUCCUUUUAUAUGUCAAGAAAAUGACGGUAGCAUAUGAAUAAGCACCGGCUAACUCCGUGCCAGCAGCCGCGGUAAUACGGAGGGUGCAAGCGUUACCCGGAAUCACGGGGCGUAAAGGACGCGUAGGCGGGUUGGAAAGUCAGGUGUGAAAUCCUACAGCUUAACUGUAGAACUGCACUUGAAACUUCUAAUCUAGAGUAUGGGAGGGGGAGAUGGAAUUAGUGGUGUAGGGGUAAAAUCCGUAGAUAUCACUAGGAAUACCUAAAGCGAAGGCGAUCUCCUGGAACAUUACUGACGCUAAGGCGUGAAAGCGUGGGGAGCAAACAGGAUUAGAUACCCGCGUAGUC
rnacentral:rRNA from 1 species